rnacentral:rRNA from 1 species
GACGUACGCUGGCGGCGUGCUUAACACAUGCAAGUCGAACGGAAAGGCCCUGCUUUUGUGGGGUGCUCGAGUGGCGAACGGGUGAGUAACACGUGAGUAACCUGCCCUUGACUUUGGGAUAACUUCAGGAAACUGGGGCUAAUACCGGAUAGGAGCUCCUGCUGCAUGGUGGGGGUUGGAAAGUUUCGGCGGUUGGGGAUGGACUCGCGGCUUAUCAGCUUGUUGGUGGGGUAGUGGCUUACCAAGGCUUUGACGGGUAGCCGGCCUGAGAGGGUGACCGGCCACAUUGGGACUGAGAUACGGCCCAGACUCCUACGGGAGGCAGCAGUGGGGAAUAUUGCACGAUGGGCGGAAGCCUGAUGCAGCAACGCCGCGUGCGGGAUGACGGCCUUCGGGUUGUAAACCGCUUUCGCCUGUGACGAAGCGUGAGUGACGGUAAUGGGUAAAGAAGCACCGGCUAACUACGUG